rnacentral:tRNA from 1 species
GCCUCUGUGUGUAGCUCAGUUGGUUAGAGCGCUGCACCGGAAUCGCAGGGCCACAGGUUCGAUUCCUGCCAGAGACC